GGGGCCCGCACAAGCGGAGGAACAUGUGGUUUAAUUCGAUGAUACGCGAGGAACUUUACCCGGGCUCAAACGUAGAAUGACAGACGGUGAAAGCCGUUCUCCCUUCGGGGCAGUCUACGAGGUGCUGCAUGGUUGUCGUCAGCUCGUGCCGUGAGGUGUCGGCUUAAGUGCCAUAACGAGCGCAACCCCCAUCUACAGUUGCUAACAGGUAAAGCUGAGGACUCUGUGGAGACUGCCGGCGCAAGCUGUGAGGAAGGCGGGGAUGACGUCAAAUCAGCACGGCCCUUACGUCCGGGGCGACACACGUGUUACAAUGGCAGGUACAGCGGGAAGCCAUAUGGCGACAUAGAGCGGAACCCGAAAACCUGUCUCAGUUCGGAUUGGAGUCUGCAACUCGACUCCAUGAAGCUGGAUUCGCUAGUAAUCGCGCAUCAGCCACGGCGCGGUGAAUACGUUCCCGGGCCUUGUACACACCGCCCGUCAAGCCAUGGAAGCCGGGGGUACCUGAAGUGCGUGACCGCAAGGAGCGUCCUAGGGUAAAACCGGUGACUGGGGCUAAGUCGUAACAAGGUAACCGU
rnacentral:rRNA from 1 species